UGCGCGCGGACGUGUUCGGUCGUGCCCCCAAAAUCGUGGUCGCCUAAUCAGACGGACGCAAAUGCGUUAAGAACCAACAAAUCUCUCGAAUAUAGCUGAACGCACCAAGAGUGGUUAAAAGCAAAGCCCCUUUGGUUGUUAUUGAAAAUAUAUUCGUCAGCACGCGACUAACUCGAAACUCACGACUCUUGUAUAUUUUUUUUUUUUUUGGUGUUUUCCCCCCUUGCAAUUGCUAAGAAAAGUGUGUGUGGAAACGGUUUUUUUUUUGAUUGUUUUUCUUAAAGACAAAACAAAAAUUGCGCGCGCGCCUUUGAGGAAGGGAAAUAGAAAACAACAGAAGCAGCAGCUCUAAGGAAAAAGCGCUCCUGCAGCAGCAGCAUCAGCAGGAAACUGCCAAAAGGAAGGAACCACACACACAAAAAAGGAAAAGGAAAUUCCCGAAACGCCGAAACUUUCAUUGCAGCAUUUUCUAUAGCACAUUUGUUGCUCUUUUUUGUUGCUGUUGUUGUUGCACGGAUAAUAAGAUACAUAAAUCUCGUUUUGAGAAUUCCUACUGAUAAGAAAGAAAACAAAUCAAGAAAUCAAGCGCACGGAAGAGAAUUUUUUCGGUCAGAUUCAGGAUGGCUGUAAUCGAUCCGCCCGAGACGUUUGACAGUGCUAUCCAGAAAAUGGUAGAGCAAAUAGCUCAAAU